UGUGAAUCAAAACGUAACAUCAAAACGGAAAGAAAAGAAUGGAGGAAAUAUUAUAAUGAUAGUAGCAAGCACAACACACCAUUUACGACAAGCGAAACUGAACGGAAGCAGAUAAAGAGGUAAGAUACGAACGAAAUAAUGUAAAACGUAUUCACAAGAGAAGCACAAUACACAAACAGAUAGAAACAAAACAAAAAAUCACAUGGAAAAGUGGAAGAAGAACAACAAUCAUGCAGCAAAAUGGAUUAUGAAAAACCCAAAACCGUAUGGUAAAAUGCGAUAAACGAUAAGCAAAUUGUUUUCAGAAGCCAAUACGAGUACGAUAAUCGCUUUGAAGCGUACGGAACAUAAUCAGUAAAGCUCAACCACCAACAGAAUUUUGGAUGGCAAUCAAGCCAAUUUUGGAAAUAGUAGACGUUCGUACAACACUCUGAACUAUCGAAAGCUUCACGCACAAGUGGUUGCCAACAAACAAAAACCAAAACGUUGCAUAAAAUGUACAGCAAACCAAACUAAGCUAAACCAAUAAGUAGACACAAGUGGAGCGAAGAAAUGUAAUACCACCAAAAAAAAAAAAACCAAACUUUAGCGAUAAACUAAUACGUUCAAAAAACUUCAUAUUCUAUAAUUCGCAUGGUAAAAAAAGGGUGUAAGUAAAUGGAAUAAAAACGGUAUCAACCUGCA